rnacentral:rRNA from 1 species
UCGUAACAAGGUUUCCGUAGGUGAACCUGCGGAAGGAUCAUUGUCGAUGCCUGCGCAGCAGCGCGACCGCGAACGCGUUAUUGACGUACGUCGUCGCCCCACAGCCCCUGGGCCCACGGGCGCGGCACAUAAACGAACCCCGGCGCGGAACGCGCCAAGGAAAACAAACGAAGAGUGCGCGUGCUUGGGCUCCCCGCUCGCGGACGGGCCCAUUCGCGCGGCCGCUUCAACAUUGAAACACGACGACUCUCGGCAACGGAUAUCUCGGCUCUCGCAUCGAUGAAGAACGUAGCGAAAUGCGAUACUUGGUGUGAAUUGCAGAAUCCCGUGAACCAUCGAGUCUUUGAACGCAAGUUGCGCCCGAAGCCAUUAGGCCGAGGGCACGUCUGCCUGGGCGUCACGCAACGCGUCGCCCCCCCGGCCCCCCACGUAGUGUGGCGGCAUCGGCGGGGGCGGAGGAUGGCCCCCCGUGGGCUCGCCCCGCAGUCGGCCGAAAAGAGGAGUCACCCCGACGAUGGGUCGUCACGACAGGUGGUGGUGUCAAUCGUUUCUUGUCGUGCCCGAACCCGUCCCGGGACCCGUCUCCCUGACCCUAUGCGCCAUCGAAUGGCGCCUCGACCGCGACCCCAGGUCAGGCGGGACUACCCGCUGAGUUUAAGCAUA